rnacentral:rRNA from 1 species
CCUACGGGAGGCAGCAGUGGGGAAUAUUGCACAAUGGGGGAAACCCUGAUGCAGCGACGCCGCGUGAGUGAAGAAGUAAUUCGUUAUGUAAACCUCUGUCUUUGGGGAAGAAAAUGACGGUACCCAAAGAGGAAGCUCUGGCUAACUACGUGCCAGCAGCCGCGGUAAUACGUAGAGAGCGAGCGUUGUCCGUAAUUACUGGGUGUAAAGGGAGCGUAGGCGGGCGAGAAAGUUGAAUGUUAAAUCUACCGGCUUAACUGGUAGCUGCGUUCAGAACUUCUUGUAUUGAGUGAAUUAGAGGCAGGCGGAAUUCCUAGUGUAGCGGUGAAAUGCGUAGAUAGUAGGAGGAACACCAGUGGCGAAGGCGGCCUGCUGGGCUUUAACUGACGCUGAGGCUCGAAAGCGUGGGGAGCAAACAGGAUUAGAUACCCCUGUAGUC